rnacentral:rRNA from 1 species
GACGAAGGGGGCUAGCGUUGUUCGGAAUUACUGGGCGUAAAGCGUGUGUAGGUGGUUGCCAUAGUCAGGUGUGAAAGCCUUGAGCUCAACUGGGGAGGGUCACGCGAUACUGAUCGACUGGAAGGCAGGAGAGGGUAGUGGAAUUCCCGGUGUAGUGGUGAAAUGCGUAGAUAUCGGGAGGAACACCAGUGGCGAAGGCGACUACCUGGCCUGUUCUUGACGCUGAGGCGCGAAAGCUAGGGGAGCAAACGGG